GCAUUGGUGGUUCAGUGGUAGAAUUCUCGCCUGCCAUGCGGGAGACCCGGGUUCGAUUCCUGGCCAAUGCA
rnacentral:tRNA from 2 species